AGAGUUUGAUCCUGGCUCAGGAUUAACGUUGGUAGUACACCCUCCCAAGCAAGUUGAACAGGAUUGGAGCAAUCUAAUUCAGUAGCGAACGGGCGAGUAAUACUUAUCUUACUUGCCAAUUAGUGGGGUAUUAAAUACCGCAUAUUCUGGUUUCGACCAGGAAAGGGUUCCUUGGGACCCGCUAAUUGAGAGGGAUAAGG
rnacentral:rRNA from 1 species